CUGAUAAGACUAGUUUUUGCACCCACGAAAUGGAACCUACUCGUCCUUUGCAUUUUGAGAUUUUUAUCGGUCAAAAGUUUUGUAUUUGUUCAAACCCGUUUCAACGUUCGAUAGCGGGGCAAUAAGUUAUAUUGUGAUAAAUCAUUUAUAAGUAAAAUAUUUGUGAUUAUGGCUGAUGAUGGAGAUCAUAAGUCCAUAUCUAAUAUGGAAAUCUACGAGCACUGGUUGAAAUUCAAGCAUCUUGGAAGAAAAUCAUGCUGCAAUAAUAUUGAAAAACGUCUUAAAAUAAAUAGCAACCGAAAAACUUAUGAAAAGGUAAUAAAAAUUUUGAAAAACUUGGAAAAGCGGUGGAAGGCUAGCCAGUGCACCAAAAGCAUUAUGUUAAAACAUCAUCAUUUUUUUGGAAACCUGAAGUACGAUUGCAAAAAUUUAAUGUGUUUUGUAUUAUUUACUUUCCUUUUUGAAAUAGAAUUGCGUUUUUUUAUAGGUAAAUUAUUGAUAUUUAUAAAAUUUGUUUUUUACCCAUUUUCAAUAAUUUAUUCUAGUUAAUCUAUGAAUUUAAAUUAUUUUUUUAUUUGUAUUGAAAUUAAUUAGACUGUAAACUUCAUUUCACGAGUAAUUAUUGGUCUUAACAAUUAUUGAUAGAAAAGUCAUUUUCCAAUAAUUAUAGGUUAUAAAACUCGGCUCUAAAUACUUUAUAUUUAUUUUUUAUGUCAUGACCAUUCUUCGUGAGGUACUUAUACUGUAUAAAACAGUAUUAUUUUUAUGUUAUGUCCCUUAGGUUUAGAUUAGUUUAGAAUGAUAUUAUUUAAUUUCUUGUUAUUAUUUUUCUGUUUAUCGUUUUUAAGUAGAAAAUUAUUAAAAGUUAUCUAUUUGGUUAAUUUUGAUAGAAUAAAAAUCCAUUAUUUGUUAAUUUUAAAAAAUACGGUUCUGUUAUAAUAUUUAUAAUGUUGAUUGCUAAAACUUUACUAUGGGUUCAUUAAAUACGAAUAGUUACAUAUUACUAUUAUCUUGAUUGAGAUUUUUUUAAUAAAAACCAAAUUAUAGAUUUUCAACUACUGACAAAUAAGAUUUUGGUAGGACAUUACU